UACGGAGGGUGCAAGCGUUAAUCGGAAUUACUGGGCGUAAAGGGUGUGUAGGCGGUUGUUUAAGUCUGUUGUGAAAUCCCCGGGCUCAACCUGGGAAUGGCAAUGGAUACUGGGCAGCUAGAGUGUGUCAGAGGAUGGUGGAAUUCCCGGUGUAGCGGUGAAAUGCGUAGAGAUGUGGAGGAACACCAAUGGCGAAGGCGGCUUUCUGGCCUGUUCUUGACGCUGAGGCGCGAAAGCUAGGGGAGCGAACGGG
rnacentral:rRNA from 1 species